UACCAGCACCCCGAGUGGUUCGGGACGUUAUUGGGCCUAAAGCAUCCGUAGCCGGUUCUACAAGUCUUCCGUUAAAUUCCACCUGCUUAACAGAUGGGCUGCGGAAGAUACUAUAGAGCUAGGAGGCGGGAGAGGCAAGCGGGUACUCGAUGGGUAGGGGUAAAAUCCGUUGAUCCAUUGAAGACCACCAGUGGCGAAGGCGGCUUGCCAGGAACGCGCUACGGACGGUGAGGGAUGAAAGCUGGGGGAGCAACCGG
rnacentral:rRNA from 1 species